CCUACGGGUGGCUGCAGUGGGGAAUAUUGGACAAUGGGGGGAAUCCUGAUCCAGCCAUGCCGCGUGUGUGAAGAAGGCCCUCGGGUUGUAAAGCACUUUCAGUGAGGAAGAACGCCUGGUGGUUAAUACCCAUCAGGAAAGACAUCACUCACAGAAGAAGCACCGGCUAACUCCGUGCCAGCAGCCGCGGUAAUACGGAGGGUGCGAGCGUUAAUCGGAAUUACUGGGCGUAAAGCGCGCGUAGGUGGCUUGAUAAGCCGGUUGUGAAAGCCCCGGGCUCAACCUGGGAACGGCAUCCGGAACUGUCAAGCUAGAGUGCAGGAGAGGAAGGUAGAAUUCCCGGUGUAGCGGUGAAAUGCGUAGAGAUCGGGAGGAAUACCAGUGGCGAAGGCGGCCUUCUGGACUGACACUGACACUGAGGUGCGAAAGCGUGGGUAGCAAACAGGAUUAGAUACCCCGGUAGUC
rnacentral:rRNA from 1 species